GCACGGCCGAGGCCUCCUCCCACCCGCGAGAUCCCGGCGGCCGCCAGCCGGCUCCUGCGUCCGUCCGUCGGCCGGGCAGUCUGUCCACGCGCGGAAAGCUCGGCGCGGCGGCCGAGGGGCCUGGGAGGGAACGGGCGCGGAGGCGGGACCGCGGCUCCCUCCCACUCCGGGGGGAGCCCAGGAGGCGGCGGUGCUGGAGCGCGAGCCGGAGCCGGAGCCGGAGACGAAGAGAGGCGGUCGCGAGCACGAGUGGGGUGGGGCGUGCCCACGGGCCCCCGCCCCCCUCGUCCCCCUCGUCCCCCAGCCCAGCUCCGGAGCCGCAGUCCAGGCGCGCCGCCCGAGGGUCCACGCCGCACCCCUCCCCCGUGCGUUCUGCGGCCACCCAGGCCUUCCAGGACACCGUGGAGAGGGAACAAGGGGGCAGGGACGCCCCCUUCGGCAGGAGCCGUCGGAGAAGGGGGCCCAGACCGGAGGGAGGCGAGAAGCCCCACUGAAGCCGGGCGCAGGGUCUGGGACGCAGUUGGGAGUGCAAAGGGCUGGCUGAGAGCCGCAGGAGCAGCAGGCUGUGGCCCAGGCCUCCUGGGUGACAGGCCCUGUCUGGCGGGGAAGAGGGACCAAGAGACAACACGGAAGAGGCUGGACCUCGAACAGGGGCGGCUGCCUCACUCCCUACCUGAGCCAGCCGAGGGGGCCAAGGACUUUAGAGCUGUUUCCUCCGGCAUAAGAGAGACACUUGCUUUCCAGGGCAGCACCCUUUAUCGGAGAAGGCUCUACAGGGAAGGGGUCUUUGCAGCCUGGAUGGCCAUCCCACAUUCCUUUAACGGAGGUCUCUAGGCCUCAGAGAGAACCCAGAGUUAGAAAGGAGGCCAGACGGUCCUUGCUGUCCCCCUGGGGAGAGAGGAAGUUGCCGCCUGCUGCCAGGCCCAGGAGGAGCUGGGCC
rnacentral:lncRNA from 1 species